AGUCGAGCGGAACGAGUUAUCUGAACCUUCGGGGGACGAUAACGGCGUCGAGCGGCGGACGGGUGAGUAAUGCCUAGGAAAUUGCCCUGAUGUGGGGGAUAACCAUUGGAAACGAUGGCUAAUACCGCAUGAUGCCUACGGGCCAAAGAGGGGGACCUUCGGGCCUCUCGCGUCAGGAUAUGCCUAGGUGGGAUUAGCUAGUUGGUGAGGUAAGGGCUCACCAAGGCGACGAUCCCUAGCUGGUCUGAGAGGAUGAUCAGCCACACUGGAACUGAGACACGGUCCAGACUCCUACGGGAGGCAGCAGUGGGGAAUAUUGCACAAUGGGCGCAAGCCUGAUGCAGCCAUGCCGCGUGUAUGAAGAAGGCCUUCGGGUUGUAAAGUACUUUCAGUCGUGAGGAAGGCGGCGUCGUUAAUAGCGGCGUUGUUUGACGUUAGCGACAGAAGAAGCACCGGCUAACUCCGUGCCAGCAGCCGCGGUAAUACGGAGGGUGCGAGCGUUAAUCGGAAUUACUGGGCGUAAAGCGCAUGCAGGUGGUUUGUUAAGUCAGAUGUGAAAGCCCGGGGCUCAACCUCGGAAUAGCAUUUGAAACUGGCAGACUAGAGUACUGUAGAGGGGGGUAGAAUUUCAGGUGUAGCGGUGAAAUGC
rnacentral:rRNA from 1 species